GCGCACCCGGCGCGAAUCCUUCGCAAUGCGGGAAACCGCGACGAGGGGACUCCCAGUGCCUACGCUCAGCGUAGGCUGUUCCCGAGCCUAGAAAGCUCGGGGAGUAAGGGCUGGGUAAGACGGGUGCCAGCCGCCGCGGUAAUACCCGCAGCCCGAGUGGUGGCCACUAUUAUUGGGCCUAAAGCGUCCGUAGCCGGCCCGGUAAAUGCCUGGGUAAAUCGUGAGGCCUAACCUCACGAAUUCCGGGUAGACUGCCAGGCUAGGGACCGGAGGAGGGAGAGGGUACUCCAGGGGUAGGGGUGAAAUUCUGUAAUCCCUGGAGGACCACCGGUGGCGAAGGCGCUCUCCUAGGACGGGUCCGACGGUGAGGGACGAAAGCCAGGGGAGCGAACCGGAUUAGA
rnacentral:rRNA from 1 species